AAUGUCCACAGAAGACCUGCUGAAGCACCUCUUCCUCAGACAGGGUGAGGUGUGGGCGCUUGCGGCGAGGAAAGGAAAGAUGAGACAAUUUUAGAAUGUGCACCAGUGGGUGGCAGCAUGUGACAGUAUUUACUGAAGCAAGGAAAGUUCUAACUCAUGGGAGCCUGGAGUUAGAGGGCAAAGGUGCCAGGGUUACCUGGAAUGUGGGUAACAGAGGCGGCACCAAGAGCAAAGUUAAACACUCAGUAUGAAAUCAGUUCUAGAGGCCCAGCACAGCUGACGGGGAGUGGUCUGAGAAGGCAGUGUGCACACUCACUUAGAAAGGGAGGGGGGUGCUGGGUCCUCGGCUAGGCUAGGUGGGCUGGUAAUGGAGAAAGCAGGGAGGUCUGUGGGUUCUUGGAGCCAAAUCACAGGGACAUUCAAGAGUGUUUAGCUGUUAUGGAGCUGGAAAAGCAGAUGUCAGUAAAUCUUUAUGAAUUCUGACAGGUUUUGUAAUAAGCCUAAACAAAUCCAUACCCUCUGUAUAAAGGAAGUGAGGUGUUACAAAGUGGGAAGGGUUGAGUUCCUUCCUCACAUAGCUUCAACCAUUUUUAUGCAUUUCCUUCCCACCAAGUAGGAAGAUCGGCUGGCUUUGAGCCGUUUCAUACCAUUAUAUGGUAUCCCUGGCACAGAUGGCCAUGCCUGGCCUCCCAGUCACUCUUCAUGGUCAGUUGGUGUAAGUGCUGCCCAUCACCCAGGGUUGGGGGGUUGUUUGGAGAUGCCAAUUCCACCCAUGGCACUGUCAUUAGACUGCACAAUGUCACACAAGCCAAAUAACCCACUGUGCCUUAGUGUCUCGUGGAGGAGACAUUACCUGACCCAGGGGCUACCUCAGGGAGGUUUUGUGAGAACAAAAGAGAGUAAGUGGAAGACUCAGGGGCCUUUGGUACCAAGGUUCUCAAUGCCGACCGCAUGCUACACUCUCCAUGAAGUUAAGUAAGUGGCUAACCCUUCCCACCUGUGGCUAAUUGAAUCAGAACCUCAGGUAACAGUAUGCCUUGAGGUGCCUUGAACCAUUGCUUUGGGAAAGAGGGCAACACAUUAUUAUCUUGGAAGAAUCACUUAAGGAUUAGGCUCAAAAAAAAAUACUCUUUGAAGCAAGCAAUUCUGUAAGAACAAUCAGAUGCUGAUAUGUGUAUUCAUAGUCUAAAUAUUAUCCAAGCAGUGUCUCAGUUUGCUUCUCGUCCAGGCAUCUGAAAAAUCAAACAUGCGUUCAUUUACCUAAGCAGUAGUCAAGUCCUUGGUAGCAAAUGUACACAGACACUAAUCUAUAAAUCUAAUCAUAUAUAUUAGAGUUAUCCAUUAAUUAUGGGAGAAAAGCCCCUCCCCUCACACUUGACUUCAAUGGCAAUUAUAAAGUCCAUUUUGCCAAGAAUAUAUAAGUGCCUCUGUGUUGUGAAACAGCAUGGAGCUGGCCUGCACAGCAGCUGACAGUGUGUGUCAGUAGCUCUGUGGGAUGACACAUGCACAGGACAUCGGGGAGCGCUGGGAAUGGUCUGUGACCCACAGGGCCAGCCAGUGAUAGUGAUGCUAUAAGGUAUUCUUAUAAACAGGCGUGGUUGUGUUCUUGGGUGAACUCAGUCCUAGUACCAGUGUGGCAGGGAGGGGACCCAUGAACAAAAUGACAAGGUGCCAAAGUGGGUUGCAUGUGGGUUGUGGGUGCUGUCCUGAGGAUUCAGUAGCCGAUGUAUGUGCCUCCAAUCCUGGACACAGAGCCUGCACCGAAGAGGGCAUUUCUGAAAUAAGGCAACUAUAUUGAAUGUUUUAAAUGCCUGGAGCAUUAAAGAUAUUUCAAGUG
rnacentral:lncRNA from 1 species